UUUCCACAAUUGUGAAAAUUAAGAUAAUACCCUUUUAGUGUAAGAGCUGUUUGAAAAGACCACCUGAAAUUGCAGCCUGUUUUGGUGGGAUGGCAUUUUGGCACACCCUGGUGAUAUCGCCAGGCAAUUAAUUAGUUAAUACCCAAAUAAGAAAGAGAGAUCCAAAUUUCUCAGCCAAUAACAGCUAACUUUCAGUUUUCUCCUCCCCACUCCCAAGACAGUCCUAGCAAAAGUCUUGCUUGAAAAAUUGCUCUCUGCUAAGAAGUUAUUUUUAUUUCUUGUUGACCAGUUUAACAUAUAUAUAUAUUUUACAGUAAUGUACUUAAUUGUUACCGAGAAAUGAUUUGAUAUUGAGAUAAAAACAGCUGCAUUGGACCUUUAAAAAUAGAACAUUUAGUGUCACUGUACAUAUUUCAACAAGCAUUUGUGCUCUAUAGCAGGGUUUCACAAACUCCGUCCUGGGCUCCCCCUGGGUGCACAUUUCGUUUUUUCCCCAAGCGCUACACAGCUAAUUAAAAUAACCAACUCAUCACCAAACUUUGAUUAUUUUAAUCAGCUGUGUAGUGCUAGGGCAAAAAACAAAACCUAGUUUGGGAAACGCUGAUCUAUAGGAUUGUGCUAGAGCUAUAGUGUUGAACUGCAGCUUUGACAUUGCCCUGUAGAGAGCAGUAGACAUUUUGAUAAAAACUCUCUUGGCUGCAUACUGCACGCACCCAUACUGUAAAGGAGAGGGGCCUAUGUAGUAUUGCUGUCUGUUACGUUUCCCGGUCGUAGCAGCGGAACGAGAACGGUGCUAAAAUGUCCAUAGUGGAAAACCAGAGUAUUAAGAGCUCAUUUACUCCGUUUCUGAAAUAGUCUGCUCAACGCAGCGUGCUUACGGAUGGUUGGUUAACGUUUCCCGUCUGAUAAAUUCUAAACUGCGUUGUUCGUUAAAUUCCUAACCAGGAGAUACGUACGACUACCACCGGUAGCCAGGUAAACUGGUUGGAUUUGACACUUGUAUCGGCCCGGGACUGCCAUGGAAAAGACACCUACUUUAUUCGUCUGCGGCAAGCACAUCACGUGUUAGACUCUAGAACUGGGGGUGGGCUUGCCCCACCGAUGUUCCACACAACCAUCUCCGGGGAACGGAUCACUGCUGCCAUCCAUCGAUGGAAAUCGGGGAAAAUUGUGAAUGCUGAGCAGGCUAGUGAGGUUGGGGCCCGCCCUCAGUCUCCGCUCUUUGGCU
rnacentral:lncRNA from 13 species